GUGGGGAAUAUUGGACAAUGGGGGGAACCCUGAUCCAGCCAUGCCGCGUGUGUGAAGAAGGCCUUUUGGUUGUAAAGCACUUUAAGUGGGGAGGAGGCUUACCUAGUUAAUACCUGGGCUAAGUGGACGUUACCCACAGAAUAAGCACCGGCUAACUCUGUGCCAGCAGCCGCGGUAAUACAGAGGGUGCGAGCGUUAAUCGGAUUUACUGGGCGUAAAGCGCGCGUAGGUGGUUAAUUAAGUCAAAUGUGAAAUCCCCGAGCUUAACUUGGGAAUUGCAUUCGAUACUGGGUAGCUAGAGUAUGGGAGAGGAUGGUAGAAUUCCAGGUGUAGCGGUGAAAUGCGUAGAGAUCUGGAGGAAUACCGAUGGCGAAGGCAGCCAUCUGGCCUAAUACUGACACUGAGGUGCGAAAGCAUGGGGAGCAAACAGGAUUAGAAACCCGUGUAGUCC
rnacentral:rRNA from 1 species